rnacentral:misc_RNA from 1 species
GAUGAAGAACGUAGCGAAAUGCGAUAAGUAAUGUGAAUUGCAGAAUUCAGUGAAUCAUCGAAUCUUUGAACGCACCUUGCGCCCCUUGGUAUCCCGAGGGGCAUGCCUGUUCGAGCGUCAUUUCACCACUCAAGCCUGGCUUGGUGUUGGGCGACGUCCCCUUUGGGGACGCGCCUCGAAACGCUCGGCGGCGUGGCACCGGCUUUAAGCGUAGCAGAAUCUUUCGCUUUGGAAGUCGGGGCCCCGUCUGCCGGAAGACCUACUCGCAAGGUUGACCUCGGAUCAGGCAGGGAUACCCGCUGAACUUAAGCAUAUCAAUAAGCGGAGGA